rnacentral:rRNA from 1 species
GUGAACGCUGGCGGUAGGCCUAACACAUGCAAGUCGAACGGCAGCACAGUAAGAGCUUGCUCUUACGGGUGGCGAGUGGCGGACGGGUGAGGAAUACAUCGGAAUCUACUUUUUCGUGGGGGAUAACGUAGGGAAACUUACGCUAAUACCGCAUACGACCUACGGGUGAAAGCAGGGGAUCUUCGGACCUUGCGCGAUUGAAUGAGCCGAUGUCGGAAUAGCUAGUUGGCGGGGUAAAGGCCCACCAAGGCGACGAUCCGUAGCUGGUCUGAGAGGAUGAUCAGCCACACUGGAACUGAGACACGGUCCAGACUCCUACGGGAGGCAGCAGUGGGGAAUAUUGGACAAUGGGCGCAAGCCUGAUCCAGCCAUACCGCGUGGGUGAAGAAGGCCUUCGGGUUGUAAAGCCCUUUUGUUGGGAAAGAAAAGCAGCAGGUUAAUACCCCGCUGUUCUGACGGUACCCAAAGAAUAAGCACCGGCUAACUUCGUG